UUACCCAAUCCCAGAACGGGGAGGUAGUGACGAAAAAUAACAAUACGGGACUCUUAUGAGGCCCCGUAAUUGGAAUGAGAACAAUCUAAAUCCUUUAACGAGGAUCUAUUAGAGGGCAAGUCUGGUGCCAGCAGCCGCGGUAAUUCCAGCUCUAAUAGCGUAUACUAAAGUUGUUGUGGUUAAAAAGCUCGUAGUUGGAUCUCAGUUCUAGUCAGGCGGUCCACUUGCCAGUGGUUACUGCCUGGCUGAACACUUUAUCGACUCUGCCUACGGUACUCUUAACCGAGCGUCGUAGGCGAUCGAUACGUUUACUUUGAAAAAAUUAGAGUGCUCAAAGCAGGCUUUAAAAGCCCGAAUAAUGUUGCAUGGAAUAAUGAAAAAGGAUCUCGGUUCUAUUUUGUUGGUCUUCGGAAUCCGAGGUAAUGAUUAAGAGGGACAGACGGGGGCAUUCGUAUGCGACGCUAGA
rnacentral:rRNA from 1 species